CCCUGAGUGGCGCAGCGGUUUAGCGCCUGCCUUUGGCCCAGGGCGCGAUCCUGGAGACCCGGGAUCGAAUCCCACGUCGGGCUCCCGGUGCAUGGAGCCUGCUUCUCCCUCUGCCUGUGUCUCUGACUCUCUCUCUCUCUCUCUGUGUGACUAUCAUAAAUAAAUAAAAAAAUAAAAAAAAAAAAGGACAAAGUUUUUGGCUAUGACUUCAUUGUCUCCAACUCUACUAUAAAAGAGAAACAACAAGGCAGCUGGAAGAGUGUCCCAAAGUACCUGCAAAAAGGAGCAGUUAUGUCUUAUCUGUCUUCCUAAUCUGAUAGUAGACUCAGUUUUAACUUUUGGCCUCACUAGAUACUGCCGCCCUCAAUUCCUUUCUAAGACCUGCAGAGGAGACCAGUCCUCAUUGGAAUGAGAACCUUCCAAACCUUCCAUUGCAUUUGUUACUUAAGAAACACUACUGGGCAUCUAAUCUUGUUAGCCUCUCUGCUGGCGGCUGGAGAGAGACGAAUAGUCAUGAAGGAACAGGCCCAUAAACAGAAUACUACCAUGUACCAUCGCGUGCUCAAUGACAGAAUCAUACCCAGGUUAAUGAGUGAGUGGACAAGCACUGAGAUCCAUCAUCACAAUAGAGGGAAAUGUGAAAGGGGAGCUCCAGGUCACCAUCACACAAUGAAGACUUCCAGGCGCUUAGACUCAAAACAUCUAGACAGUUCAGAAGUUGAGAGAAAUCUUCAGACUGACCCUUGAUUGGCUCCUGGAAGAUAACUUUUGAGUCCUUAAGUUAUCCUGCCUGAUGUAAGUGUCUUUGUAUAACUGACACCUUAGGGAAUGCUAGAUGGUUUAUGCUAAUAAUAACAUAUGGUGAAUGCCUAGUUUUGUAUACCUGGGGCUUUCAGCCAUCAACUUAACUUCUGGUGGUACUGGGGUCUGAGUAGCUGAGGUCAGUCACAGUAGUGCUGCAUGCAGUAUUCCCCAGUAGAAACUGUAGACCCUCAAGACAGGUGAACUUCCUCGGUUGGCACACAUUGUUGCUGAGAAAAUUAAGCUCUGUUUUUAUGUUUUUAUCAUUAGAAGAGGACAACCAGAAGUUUGUACCUGGUCUAUCCUGAACUUUCCCUUAUGUGCCUUUUUCUUUUGUCACUUUUAAUCUGUAUCCUUUUGCUGUAAUGAUCUGUAAACAUGAGUAUAAUAACUUUUCUGAGUUUCUAAAUCCUUCCAGUGAAUCAUUGAAACAAAGGGGAAUUUGGAGACUCUGUAAACAUGAGUAUAAUAGCUUUUCUGAGUUUCUAAAUCCUUCCAGUGAAUCAUUGAAACAAAGGGGAAUUUGGAGACUCUCCGCUCCACAUACUUUUGUUGUAAGUGUGACCUAUUUUCAAAUAGGCAAAGGCAAGAAUGCAUGUUCAUUAAAGCGAUUUGCCUUAAGAUAUAGCUUCCAGGAAAAAAAUUAUACCCCAAGGUGGAGAUUGUCUUGAUUAAUAGUACACUAGCCAAGUACUAAUACAUCUUAUACAAUAAGAAAAUUAUAAAUGUCUUGUAAAAAUAUACCCAAUGUCUCUCUUUUUUUUACCUCUAUCUUGGUAGAAAAUUCUUAAGGAGAGCCUCAAGAGACCCUUGGGAAGGAAUAUUCCAUCUCUAGGAUUUUCCAAAGAAAUCUAUAAACAAGUGGUGACUAAUAUGUGCCACUGAUAUAUGCAUGCAUGCUAAAUGUUAUAGACUCAUACACCUCAGACUUGUCAUGCGCCCAUGUCUAAGAUAAAGCUACCUCCACACCUGCAUGUAUAUUUUCCACAAGCCCGUCACCUUUUUCUACACCGCUUCCACAUAUUUGAACAUCCCUUUUUUUAUUCAUUCAUACAUUCCUUUUUUUCCAACUGCUAUUUAUUAGGCCAUUUCUGUGUCCAGUCUCCUUGCUAAGCACUGCAGUAAAUAAAGAAGGCUUAGUCCAUACCUUCCUGGAGCUU
rnacentral:lncRNA from 12 species